rnacentral:rRNA from 1 species
CGGCGGACGGGUGAGUAACGCGUGGGUAACCUGCCUCAUACAGGGGGAUAACAGUUAGAAAUGGCUGCUAAUACCGCGUAAGACCACAGUACUGCAUGGUACAGUGGUAAAAACUCCGGUGGUAUGAGAUGGACCCGCGUCUGAUUAGGUAGUUGGUGAGGUAACGGCCCACCAAGCCGACGAUCAGUAGCCGACCUGAGAGGGUGACCGGCCACAUUGGGACUGAGACACGGCCCAG